GACGAACGCUGGCGGCGUGCUUAACACAUGCAAGUCGAACGGAAAGGCCCUGCUUUUGUGGGGUGCUCGAGUGGCGAACGGGUGAGUAACACGUGAGUAACCUGCCCUUGACUUUGGGAUAACUUCAAGAAACUGGGGCUAAUACCGGAUAGGAGCUCCUGCUGCAUGGUGGGGGUUGGCAAGUUCCGGCGGUUGGGGAUGGACUCGCGGCUUGUCAGCUUGUUGGGGGGGUGGUGGCUUACCAAGGCUUUGAGGGGUAGCCGGCCUGGGUGGGGGACCGGCCACAUUGGGACGGGGUAACGGCCAGGACUCCUACGGGAGGAAGAGGGGGGGAAUAUUGAAAAAUGGGCGGAAGCCUGAGGAAGCAACGCCGCGUGCGGGAUACCGGCCUUGGGGUUGUAACCCGCUUUCGCAUGUACCGAGGCGUGAGUGACGGUAAUGGGUAAAGAAGCACCGGCUAACUACGUG
rnacentral:rRNA from 1 species